rnacentral:rRNA from 1 species
UACGGAGGGUGCGAGCGUUGUCCGGAAUCACUGGGCGUAAAGGGCGCGUAGGCGGCGCGGUAAGCGUGCGGUGAAAGUCCGGGGCUCAACCCCGGAUCGGCCGUGCGGACUGCCGGGCUUGAGCACUGUAGGGGCGGGUGGAACUCCGGGUGUAGCGGUGGAAUGCGUAGAGAUCCGGAAGAACACCGGUGGCGAAGGCGGCCCGCUGGGCAGUGGCUGACGCUGAGGCGCGACAGCGUGGGGAGCAAACAGG